UGCCAGCCGCCGCGGUAAUACGGAGGGGGCAAGCGUUGUUCGGAAUUAUUGGGCGUAAAGAGCAUGUAGGCGGACUGUUAAGUCUGAUGUGAAAGCCCGGGGCUCAACCCCGGAAGUGCAUUGGAUACUGGCAGUCUUGAGUAUGGGAGAGGAAAGUGGAAUUCCGAGUGUAGGAGUGAAAUCCGUAGAUAUUCGGAGGAACACCAGUGGCGAAGGCGGCUUUCUGGACUGAUACUGACACUGAGGUGCGAAAGCGUGGGGAGCAAACAGGAUUAGAUA
rnacentral:rRNA from 1 species